CAGUAGCCGCGGGAAUACGAAGGGUGCAAGCGUUACUCGGAAUUACUGGGCGUAAAGCGUGCGUAGGUGGUGGUUUAAGUCCGUUGUGAAAGCCCUGGGCUCAACCUGGGAAUUGCAGUGGAUACUGGGUCACUAGAGUGUGGUAGAGGAUAGUGGAAUUUCCGGUGUAGCAGUGAAAUGCGUAGAGAUCGGAAGGAACAUCUGUGGCGAAGGCGACUAUCUGGGCCAACACUGACACUGAGGCACGAAAGCGGGGGGAGCAUACAGGAUUAGAGCCCCGGUAGUCCCUGUCUCUUAUACC
rnacentral:rRNA from 1 species